CUCGAAGAAUGGUUUAAAUUUGACUAUGUUUGCAUAAAUUUUUUGAAUAAGACGAGUGGUCAAACUUGGUGUCAAAAAAGUCAAACGACCUAUAAUUUGGAACGGAGGGAGUACUUUAUUUCACUGCUUGUAUUGCAGUAAUGAUGUUACACAGUUGAUGCAUUGUUUCCCUUGUUUAAGAAGAAACAUACAGGAUACUCCAAGUUCCACUCUGCAUCUUCUCUUGGGGCUGUUUUCUGUAGCUAGCUUCUAAUAAAAAUUUGAUAGCCGGUCCUUGAGAUCUUGAGCGGCGCUGCAGGUAAAAUGAGGUAUGGCAAAACAGGGCUUGAAAAUUGUGGCAUCACAGUUUGCUUAAUGGGAGAAGAUAUCCAAGUGCAGCCUCAUGUUACUUAAGAAUUACCUUAUCUUCAUUUCUUUUGGUGUCUCUUAGUUUAUUUGCAGGGUGGCCAUGAUAUGGGUAUCUGCUAGCAUUCAGGAUUGGAAACUAGUGUAAGUUUCAAAGAAUUACCUAUCUUCAUUUCUUUUGGUGUCUCUUAGUUUAUUUGCAGGAUGGCAAUGAUAUGGGUAUCUGCUAGCAUUCGGGAUUGGAAACUAGUGUAAGUUUCACCUGGGACAAGACUAUUUUAUCAGAACAGAUUAAAUGCCAAAAUGAGUGGUUUGGACAAUGUAAACAUAAUUUCUAUGGAGAUCUUGUAGAGCUCAAGAAUUAAUAAUCAUCAGUUGGCCAUCAACCUAGGUAUUUUCUCUGUAAUAUUAGUGGAGAGCUCUUCCAAUAUCCACUGCCACUGGUGAUCAAAAUAUAUGUUAAACUAUUUCUACUCUUGUUAGUUGUUAGUACUAGUCCAUCUGGAACCAAUUCUAAAACAGCCUUGAUGGCUAACUGUAACUGGUUUCUGAAGAGCCUGCUUUGCACCUGACUUUUGUGUUAUUCUGAUUUUCCAGAUGCCUGAAGACUUGAACAAAAUGGUUCUCUGGAUGCUCUGCUGGCCACACAGUUGAUUCUUUAUUUUUCUUGUCGCAGCAUUGUUGAUCUGAAAGAUAGAUCUGAAGGGGAAAAAAAGAGACAAAGGACUUUGACGCAUAUGCUCAAUGUGUCGACACUAAUGAUAUGAAAGAUGGAAAUGAGAAUGGAAAAGAGACACAAAGUACUUUGUUCCAAGCAUAUGCGCUCGACACAGAUGUCUUGGUAUGAAAGAUGGGAAUGAGAAGGAAAGAAGAGACACAUACGACUUCGUUCCAAGCAUAUGCUAAUCUUCUAGGAGAGGCAUCUCAAGUUAUGAACAUAUUGACCCGUCGGUAGUCUUGGAUUCUGGGCCAAAGGAAGCGAGCAGCUGUACUGCUGUAGCUUGGCAUUGAUGCCGCCCAACCCGUAUUCCAGCUCACUCCUGCCGCCCUUGUGAUGCCACAGUAGUUGAGCAGCAAGAGAUUUCUCUAUUUGGGAUGUAUGAAGCAGACUGAAGCACUCAAAGAAGAGGAGAUAGGAAUUGGUUUUGUUGGAGGACGUGUUUGUUUCUGGGAGCAAAACUUCCGCUUGGGUUCCAAUAUUCCAUCCAGCUUCCCCUGCAGAUUGCUUAGCAAGGAGACCACCAAAGUUGAAGUGUGCGUGUGUGUUUUUUUUUUUUUUUGGACUCACCAAAGUUGAAGUGUUGAAUGUACUUCCUCGGGACAGCUGAAAAGAAGCUUUUUUUUCGUAGGAUUGGAUUCCAAACCCUCCGAUUCCUCCCCGACGUUCUUUUCCUUUUUUUCCUAAUAAUGAUAAAUAAACUGAGAUUUUGCCUUAAUUCUUCCGGGAGUCCCAAACGUUCCACCAGGCCUGUAUAAGCAUAGCCGCACGGGGCCCCCAAAUUGAAAGGUUUCAUAAUUAGCAAUUGGUCCACCUAAACAUCCGUUACUUUCCAUGAAUCCCACUUCAAUGUGCAAGUAGGGG